rnacentral:rRNA from 1 species
AGUGAACGCUGGCGGUAGGCCUAACACAUGCAAGUCGAACGGUAACAGGCCUUCGGGCGCUGACGAGUGGCGAACGGGUGAGUAAUGCAUCGGAACGUGCCCAGUCGUGGGGGAUAACUAUCCGAAAGGAUAGCUAAUACCGCAUACGAUCUGCGGAUGAAAGCGGGGGACCUUCGGGCCCCGCGCGAUUGGAGCGGCCGAUGUCAGAUUAGGUAGUUGGUGGGGUAAAGGCUCACCAAGCCAACGAUCUGUAGCUGGUCUGAGAGGACGACCAGCCACACUGGGACUGAGACACGGCCCAGACUCCUACGGGAGGCAGCAGUGGGGAAUUUUGGACAAUGGGCGCAAGCCUGAUCCAGCAAUGCCGCGUGCAGGAAGAAGGCCUUCGGGUUGUAAACUGCUUUUGUACGGAACGAAACGGCUCUGGUUAAUACCCGGGGCUAAUGACGGUACCGUAAGAAUAAGCGCCGGCUAACUACGUGCCAGCCGCCGCAGUAA